ACACGAAAAUAAACUUAAACACAAUGUGUGUCUGGCACUGGCCUAUGUUAAAAACAUCUGCGGACAAUAUGCACUCCCGGCUUACAGUUUGUAUCAGUCAUCGUAGUUAUUGUUUUCUUAGUAAAGGAAGCCCCUUGACCUUGAGACCCUAAGGAUUAUUUUUCGUUUUACAGUUUGUUUAUUACUGUCGACGACUGUCGUUAUUUGAGACAGCGGUUGUGCGAGUUUGCAAAUUCUACGUCCGUCGCGUCGCCAGAAAUCUUUUGGAUUAACUAACGCCUUAUCACUUAGUUCCGGUUCCGAAAGACACGAAUUAUUAUGUGACGUGCGCUUUUACUUCGGGAUUAGUUGAAUAGUGGCGUAGAAGGAUAAUAAUAAACAUUUACCUACUUCUAAAUUAACCAAUAACGUUAUAUUACUUAAGCCGAUUUAUUAGAGUGGAAGUUUAAGGUAGGAAAUAAUUAUUUAAAAUAAUUUUUACUAUACAGGGUGUUUCAACACUAUACACCGUGUCCGGAAAGUCGCGGAUAAACAGUACAAGGUGUUAUUCUGUACUAAAAGUUCGUAUUUUUUUUAAAUAAACACAUUAAUAAAUUAGGCAGGUGCAAGCUUUCUGUUUAAAUCAUUCGAUUAAAAUAAAUUCUCGUACACUCUGUUUCAUCUUCUUUCCCAAACAAAAAAUUUACUUACUUUUAGUGUUUUGUAGUAUUGUUAAGUUCUGUAAAAAACUAUAAAAUUUGUAAAAAUCUAUUGCUUUCAAGUGUUUUUUUACGUCUAAUUCGCAAACAAAUCGUUUUUGGGCGUUUGUUUAUAAAGCAAGAAUGUUGGUUGUGAUGUCUCCUACCACGUUUAAAGGUUUGUAGGUAUAGUUAUGAAAUACUCUGUAUAAACAUGCUCAAAAAGCGCCUAUUCUAGCUGUUCAAUAAUUAUGAAAUUUGUUACGUUAGGACGAAAACUGCUUGUAUGAUAGCCGUCAGAACCAAUAUACUAAGUGAAUAAAAAAUCAAAUACCAAUGCCACCAAAACGAAAAGGAGGACAAGAAAAAAAACUAGAAAGGGAGAAGAAAAAAAGAUGUGAAAUAGCAAAAAAAUGUCACUCUUUGGAUAAUUUGCUCAAUAGUUAUUCUGUUCCUUCAACUUCAGGGGUAGAAAGUGAUAUUAACACGGAAAAACAAGAGCAAGAGCAAAAAUCCGAAGAAAAUUUACCGGUUUCAGAAACUAAAUUUGAAACUGAGUUAAAGCUGUCAGAGGACUCGGACGACGACAUAGAGACAAGUGAUGAAAGCGAUAGUGAAGCUAAUGUAAAAAAGGCACUUAAAGACGAAGAGGCGCUACUAAAGCUGGGACAGCCGGAAGAGACAGAAUCUGGCAAUUUCUUCGACCGUCCCGAUCCCAAUAAAUUACAGCUAUUUUUUGAAUUCCAUCCAAAGGUACCUGUCGCACAAAAAGAUGUACCUUUCAAUGUGGAAAAAGCGUUUACGCGUAAUAAUAAAACAAAAAGGAAAUGGUUGAGCUAUAGUGAAGAAAGAAAGGCACUUUUCUGCACAAUUUGUCUUGCUUAUUCAGUUGAGAGUAAUAAAGAUCAAAGUUCUGCUUUUGCAAGAGGUAUGUCUGAUUGGAAACAUGUAUAUCAGCGAAUAAAUGAGCAUGAAAGUUCAAUCAGUCAUGGAAAAAACUGCGAAACAUAUUUCAUGUAUAUUAAAAAUCAAACAAUUGAAAAAAUACUUUUUGGAAACGUUGUUGAAAUGAGAAAUAAAAAAGUUGCAAGCAAUCGGCACGUUUUGGAUGUUAUUAUUGAUGUUAUAAAACUAAUUGGCAAACGAGGACUUUCUUAUCGAGGCACAGCAAAUGAAGCUGCAUACAAUCUAGAAAAUGAAAACCUAGAUCAUGGUAAUUUUUUGGAAAUAAUCUUACUUUUAUCGAAAUUUGAUGUUAUUUUGAAGAAACAUUUGGACGCCAUUGUUAAAAAAAAGCAAAAGUUAUCACAAUAGAAAAAUCAAACGUCGAGCUGGAAAUUUCUACACAUUUUUGUCAAAAACUACUGUAAACUCAAUCAUUGUCAUAAUCACAGAAAUUAUUCUAAAGAAGAUUUCUUCAGAGAUACAGACUGCCACUAUGUUCUCUAUAGAAAUAGACAGCACUCAAGAUAUUUCAGUAACAGACCAAUGUUCAGUUGUAACAAGGUAUGUUUACAACGGAACAAUUCACGAACGCCUUCUUGCAGUUGUUCCUUGUCACAAUUCAACAGGGAAGGGAUUUCAUACCAUG
rnacentral:misc_RNA from 1 species